UUUCCAGAAAAUAAAAAUUUUACGAAGGUGUAAAUCAAACCGAAAAUUUUAUAAGGACGAAAAUAAAAAAUGACAUAUAUUACAAGGGUGAAAAACACUAUUAACCCUAACAUAAAUAACCAAACAAAAAAAAAAGUUUUGAUGAUUUACAAUAACUCCUGACCAUAAUAUCUCGAAAAAAAACAGCAUUGGAUUCGAAUAAAGUCUUGGAUCGAAUUGCCAACAUCAUUAAAGCCUUAUUCAUAUAACUGAAUUUUUUGUAAGUGUUCAUUUAACUCGGAGGUGUACCGUUCUAUGGAGGGAACACAAUUGUAAUUUUUUAUUAUAUAUCUUGUUAAUAAGCAAAGUGUUAUAAAAGAGAGGAAAAACGUAAGACAAAAAUAAAACCCUUCAUAUUGGGUUAGAACAAAUAAAGCAUGGGCAAGGUCAAAGAAUUAUCACAAUUGCACUCUACCAUCAAAACAAUAUCUAACAAAUCCAUGAAGCUAAUGAACCAUAUAUACCACAUGUCCAUAUCCCCUAAAUCCCCCUCUCUCUCUCUUAUCAUUUUCUAUGUACAGCCAAACAAAGCGUAGAUAAGUAAAACCUAGCAAUAGAUGAGAAAGAUUAGUAAACAAAGACACAUGCCUUAGAAGCAUAAUAAACACAUAACUAAUUUGCAUAAUCCCAAAAUCAAAUCAAAUUGCACCUGAGAAUGACAAAAGUCCUGCAAAGGAGAAUAUGAGGGAGCCAAAAAGGAGUUAAAGAAUAGGGCAAAGAGAGAAAUAGGAG
rnacentral:lncRNA from 1 species